UUGAACGCUGGCGGCAGGCCUAACCCAUGCAAGUCGAGCGGAUGAAGGGAGCUUGCUCCUGGAUUCAGCGGCGGACGGGUGAGUAAUGCCUAGGAAUCUGCCUGGUAGUGGGGGAUAACGUCCGGAAACGGGCGCUAAUACCGCAUACGUCCUGAGGGAGAAAGUGGGGGAUCUUCGGACCUCACGCUAUCAGAUGAGCCUAGGUCGGAUUAGCUAGUUGGUGGGGUAAAGGCCUACCAAGGCGACGAUCCGUAACUGGUCUGAGAGGAUGAUCAGUCACACUGGAGCUGAGACACGGUCCAGACUCCUACGGGAGGCAGCAGUGGGGAAUAUUGGACAAUGGGCGAAAGCCUGAUCCAGCCAUGCCGCGUGUGUGAAGAAGGUCUUCGGAUUGUAAAGCACUUUAAGUUGGGAGGAAGGGCAGUAAGUUAAUACCUUGCUGUUUUGACGUUACCAACAGAAUAAGCACCGGCUAACUUCGUG
rnacentral:rRNA from 1 species